GAACGAGAAAGUGGGGCAAUCCAUGAGUAAAGUGGCGUACGGGUGAGUAACACGUGGAUCAUCUGCCCUUUAGUGGGGAAUACCGCUGGGAAACCGGCGACAAUACCGCAUAAGCUCGAGAGAGGAAAGCAGCAAUGCGCUGAAGGAGGAGUCCGCGGCCGAUUAGCUAGUUGGUAGGGUAAUGGCCUACCAAGGCUGUGAUCGGUAGCCGGCCUGAGAGGGCACACGGCCACACUGGCACUGAAACACGGGCCAGACUCCUACGGGAGGCAGCAGUGGGGAAUCUUGCACAAUGGGGGAAACCCUGAUGCAGCGACGCCGCGUGAGCGAUGAAGCCCUUCGGGGUGUAAAGCUCUUUCGGCAGGGAAGAUUAUGACGGCACCUGUAGAAGCAGCUGCGGCUAACUACGUGCCAGCAGCCGCGGUAAUACGUAGGCAGCAAGCGUUGUUCGGAGUUACUGGGCGUAAAGGGUGCGUAGGCGGUUCUA
rnacentral:rRNA from 1 species